rnacentral:rRNA from 1 species
GACGUAGGGCGCGAGCGUUGUCCGGAUUUAUUGGGCGUAAAGAGCUCGUAGGCGGCUUGUCGCGUCGUCCGUGAAAACUUGGGGCUCAACCCCAAGCUUGCGGUCGAUACGGGCAGGCUCGAGUUCGGUAGGGGAGACUGGAUUUCCUGGUGUAGCGGUGAAAUGCGCAGAUAUCAGGAGGAACACCGGUGGCGAAGGCGGGUCUCUGGGCCGAUACUGACGCUGAGGAGCGAAAGCGUGGGGAGCGAACAGG